GCCGAUAUUCUCCAUGGCUAUAAGGUUUAUUGUGGUCUAUAGUAAAAUGCAAUACCGGGUUCCGCCAGCAGAGGGCGCCUGCUGCUCUGGGCAUCUGUAGCUGACGCUGAAGACGAAGCUUAGUCACGUCAUCAGACCCGUCAAACUCCUGUGGCCGACAGCAGGAGCUUCAGCUUCAGUCAAGGCAGAGGAGGCGGCGUGUUGGUCGUAGCCAUUGUUAGCUCGGUGCUAAAGCUAACAGCAGUUUGCAAAAAUGUCCCAAAGGAGCCAGACUCUGAGAGCUUUGGUGACUGAGCGGCUGAAUACAGCUGCAGAGGAGAUCUUUGAGCUGGUGGAGAGAACAAUAGCGGAGUAUGAGGAGGAACUGUGUCGCUCCAAAGAGGAGAACCAGCAGCUCCUGGAGGAGAACCAGAGGAGGCAGCAGCUCCUGGAGGCUCUGAGUCCACAGGUCCUGCUCCACAGAACAGGUGGGUCCUGGGUGAGGAGUCCAGAGCCCAGUCUGAAGCAGGAAAUCCCUGAGACUCCACAGAUUAAAGAGGAACCAGAGGAACAGAGCGUCAAACAGGAGGAAGAGCAGCUCCCACAGUUCACUGAGACUCCACCAAAGAACAUCAUCAUCACCAACGUGUUUUCACUUCUGAAGACUCCCCCGACGACUGACAAACAAACCACAGACUCGUCUUCACUCCCCCCUCUGCGACCCGCGGAGAAGAACAUGGAGACGGAGCAACAAACGGACUCUGACUCUGACGGUGACGAUGAUGAAGACUGGGAACCUCCAGCCAGCGCUUCAGCUGCACAGACGGAGACAGAGUCUGAUGGAGACCACGACGACCAAGUCCAGAUAAAAGACACAAGUCCAGCUGCUCACAACUCCACUCUAUUCACCAAAAACAAGUCUGCACCAGAGACUGAGCCGCUGUGAGGACGGACACACGACAGAGACUGGAGCCGCUGUGAGGGACGGACACACGACAGAGACUGGAGGCCCACUGUGAGGGACGAACACACGACAGAGCCUGGAGCCGCUGUGAGGGACGGACACACGACAGAGACUGGAGCCGCUGUGAGGGACGGACACACGGCAGAGACUGGAGCCGCUGUGAGGGACGGACACACGACAGAGACUGGAGCCGCUGUGAGGGACGGACACACGACAGAGACUGGAGCCGCUGUGAGGGACGGACACACGACAGAGACUGGAGCCGCUGUGAGGGACGGACACACGACAGAGACUGGAGCAGAGCAAAGGAAGAAACACGAGUGCACUGUUUGUAAGAAGAGAUUCACCACUAAACAAACCUUAGAAAGACACACUAGAAUUCACACUGGAGAGAAACCAUUUAUUUUUUAGUUUGUAAGAAAACAUUUACUGCACAGUAUUCUCUCAAAGUACACACAACAACACACACAGGGGACAGACCAUACAGUUGUUCAAUAUGUAACAAAAAAUGUACUAAGAAAUCCGAUCUUAAAGUACACAUGAGAUGACACACUGGAGAGAGGCCUUACAGCUGCACAGUCUGUCAGAAAGCAUUUACCCAAAGGGGAACUCUGAAUGUCCACAUGAAAUCUCACAAAACUGAGUGACAAAAGUAUCCAGAAAAACAAUGUGGAACAGAAACCACAAAUGCAGGUUGCAGAAAAAGGUGAAAAACUCAGCUGCACAAGGAGAGAGGGAGGUCGGCUCCUGUUUUCACGUCACCAUGACAACAAACAAAAAAUAAAACAAAAAACUUGUUCCAGUUCAAAUUCAUGGUUAAUUGAUAUUGUUCAUUAAAAAGGUUUUUUCUUAAUUCCAUGUGUGAAGCUUUCUACUUAAUUAACCUGGAACAUUUGAGAACUUAUUUGCAUUUACAAACAUGACGUGGCCGAUCACAGGAACAGCCACAAAGUAAACAUUGACACAGACCAUGCAGCUGUACAGUUUGUGAAAUGUGUUCACAAGAAUCUUUUCUGUCAAAGAGCUCAUGUUUAGUUUAAGCUACAACUCCAGAGAGACCAG
rnacentral:lncRNA from 1 species